GUCGAGGGGCAGCGGGAUUGAAGCUUGCUUCAAUUGCCGGCGACCGGCGCACGGGUGAGUAACGCGUAUCCAACCUUCCGUACACUCAGGGAUAGCCUUUCGAAAGAAAGAUUAAUACCUGAUGGUAUGAUGAGAUUGCAUGAUAGCAUCAUUAAAGAUUUAUCGGUGUACGAUGGGGAUGCGUUCCAUUAGGUAGUAGGCGGGGUAACGGCCCACCUAGCCGACGAUGGAUAGGGGUUCUGAGAGGAAGGUCCCCCACAUUGGAACUGAGACACGGUCCAAACUCCUACGGGAGGCAGCAGUGAGGAAUACUGGUCAAUGGACGAGAGUCUGAACCAGCCAAGUAGCGUGAAGGAUGAAGGUCCUACGGAUUGUAAACUUCUUUUAUAAGGGAAUAAAACCUCCCACGUGUGGGAACUUGUAUGUACCUUAUGAAUAAGCAUCGGCUAACUCCGUGCCAGCAGCCGCGGUAAUACGGAGGAUGCGAGCGUUAUCCGGAUUUAUUGGGUUUAAAGGGAGCGCAGACGGGUCGUUAAGUCAGCUGUGAAAGUUUGGGGCUCAACCUUAAAAUUGCAGUUGAUACUGGCGUCCUUGAGUGCGGUUGAGGUGUGCGGAAUUCGUGGUGUAGCGGUGAAAUGCUUAGAUAUCACGAAGAACUCCGAUUGCGAAGGCAGCACACUAAGCCGUAACUGACGUUCAUGCUCGAAAGUGUGGGUAUCAAACAGGAUUAGAUACCCUGGUAGUCCACACGGUAAACGAUGGAUACUCGCUGUUGGCGAUAUACAGUCAGCGGCUUAGCGAA
rnacentral:rRNA from 1 species